UGACGUACUGAUAAAGUCGCGCCUCACGUGGUAUUACCGCCCCUCCUAUAUAUAUUAUUAUUUCUUAUAUAUACCAGUUGACUGAGUGGAAGAAACAGCUUCAUCUAAGCACACCGAAGAAACAUCGACAUCCCAUCAAAAUGAGCGGUUAUCCAGGUUACCCACCAGCUGGUUCAGCACCCCCACCACCAUACGGUUACCCUGGGCAACCACCAGCAGGUUACGCACCACCCCCUCCAGCUGGUUACAACUACGGAGCUCCACCAGCCACAUACGUUGUCAACAGACCCCCACCAGUACAAACCAUAGUUGUAGAGGAAGGACAUCAUCACCACCAUGGACACCAUGGUCACCAUGGUCACGGUAUAGUUGAUGAAAUUCUUCACCAUGGUUUUGGCCAUCAUGGUCAUCAUGAUCAUCAUGGCCAUCAUCACCACCAUCAUUGUUGAAUAAAAUGGAUGAUUUUGAUGGGAUUAGGGGUAUUUUGUAAAUAACAAAUAUAUAUAUUAUUAUGUGAAAGAAAAUUCUAACAAAACAAAAAAACAAAAACAUUCUUGGUGAGAAUAAGUAUCCUUGCUACAUAAUGUGAAAAAACCCAAAGAGGACUGAAUGAUAAAAUAAGUAAUCAUAAGAUAGUGACCGAUUAAUUUUGUUGCUUUUGAACAUUGAACUGUGAUAACUGUAAUCAUAAUCCAAUUGUUUCGUUUGUAUGCUUGAUAUAAUUGUGAUGCACAAAUUGACUCUCACUGUUUCUUUAAUUAAUGCACGGCACUUGCAAAUCAUUACUGGCUGGACUGUGCAAUAUUCCUUUGUGUGCCAAAAAGGUGUAAAUAAAUAAACUAUAUUAUUUCGUAUUUUAUUGAUUUAAAUUCAAAUGCUCUUACUGUUAAUGUACAACUAUAAUUUAUUUAUCAAUUCUGAUUAAAGUACUGAAUUUCCUAA